UUUUAACCACCAAACUAUUUCAAGUCUGUGCUUUGAGACCCUUUGCCUUUUAUUGCUUGUUACAAUUUUGUUUUCUGUUUAAAAAACUGUAAAACAACUGUAAAAAAAAAAAAACUUUAAAGCAACUGUAUGUAGUUUUGUGUGUCUUACAGUUCACUCUUGUAAAUAUAUCACUAUGUAGCCUACACUUGUAUUUGUUGCUGCCAUAAAACAGUUAUCUUAAUCUGUGAAAAAAGAUCUGAAUCCACUUUGAGUCCAGAUUCACUGUAAUUUUGCUAAUAUCACCACACCUUAAGCUGUACAGUUAGUUCACUCAAACUGUACAGUUAGUUGAAUCAAAAUCAGGUGAACUGAACACCAAAAAAAAAAAAGAAUCAAAUGGACAAAAAACUGAUUUGAAUCCACUUUGAGUCCAGAUUUGCAGAAAUGUUGCUAAUAUCACCACACCUUAAGCUCUACAGUUGGUUCACUCAAAAUCAGGUGAAAUGAAGUCCAAAAUUGUGAAUAAAAAUAAAUGUGCUUAAAAUCUGUCACUAAAGUGGACCAAAAUCAGGUUUGAAUCCACUUUGAGUCCAGAUUCGCAGUAAUUUUGCUAAUAUCACCACACCUUAAGAUGUACAGUUAGUUGAAUCAAAAAAUUCACUUUAAUAAAUAAAAUUUAAUUAAUUAUAUAUAUAUUAUAUUAAAAUGAACGGACUAAAGUGGACAAAAACAGAUUUGAGUCCACUUUGAGUCCAGAUUUGCAGAAAUGUUGCUAAUAUCACCUCACCUUAAGCUAUACAGUUGGUUGAAUCAAAAUCAGGUGGAAUGAAGUCCAAAAUUGUGAAUUAAAAUAAGUGGGCAAAAAAAAAAAACUAUCACUAAAAUGGAUA